rnacentral:lncRNA from 1 species
UUUUUUUGGUGAUUACUAAAGAGAAACCGGUCUUCUCUCCCUUUAGUCAAAUGACAAAGAGCUGGGGCAGUUGGAUAAAAGCCUUUUAACAACCUGAACGAGAGGAACAGGGAAACCUGCUCCUUUAGCUGUGGCAAAGAUGUGGCAGGUCACAUCUCAGGCCUUUGCUGGUAGCAGCAUGUGGGGGGUGGCCAUGUACUUUGAAUCAUUAGCACGUCAAUUAUACUAUCACGCUGGCUACUCCUAGUUCACUGCGCAGAGGGAUGUUCUCCUUUCACUCUACCCUUUUUUUCAUCACUCAGCUCCAGUUGUACCUUCUUUGAGAAGCUUCUACAAACAGCCCAGUUGGAAGUGCUCUGUCCCCACUGUUAAUCCUCUUGUUUCUCACCGUUACGCUCUUAGUUUUCCAUUGUUACAUGUGAGUUGUCCACGAGGAUACAUGCAUAAGUAUGAGAAUAUAUACCCCUUCCUCAGCAAUUAGCACAGAGAAUUGAAUUAAGCAGUACAAAGGUUUUCAGUUUUAGGUUUACCUGAUUACCCCUUACUAUACUCAAAUGCAUCCCAAUACUUCUGUACUCCUAAAUCAACUGACAACCUUUAAGCAUAUGCUCUUUUGCUAGGUCUUGAAGAGGAGGCACAACUGCCUUCAUAUGAGUCCAGUGUGUGUUGUCAAAAUGUAACUUUUGAAUUGUUCUAAAGCCACAGUAAGAGAACAGACAGAUGAUCUGAAAGGAUGGUGUGUAUAGUCUGAGACUAUUAAAUUUGAGUCCAGCAAUAAAAUCCAGUUUAAAUGGUGUGACCAUAUGACAUGGUUCAGCCAGCAGAAUGUUGAGUGGAAGCGAUGUAACUUUGGAGGCAAAGAUGUAAGAGCCAGUGAGUGGUCUGCCAUGUUGCCUUCCUACUGCUGCAGAGAUCUUGGAAAUUCCUGGCAAGAUGAAGCCUCCAUCAUCUGGGUUCCUGGGGAACUCUGAUCAGCCUCUGCUGACCCAUGUUAGACAUGCAGUGUCUCCUUCCAGACACAACUGAGCUCAACAAAUUGGUGCUGAGUGACUGAGAGAGGCAUGUAGUCCUAGCCCCAGCUUUGACUGUAAUCAGCUGUGUCGACCUUGUUCAAGUCAGCCCUCUGGGCCUCCAUCCCCUCACCAGGAGAAUACUGGUCAUUUUAAUAAAUGGACCCAGCAACUAGGUGGUCACUAUUUUUAGCACGGAGGUGAAGACUGUAUCUGUUGGUAGGGGUAGGGGCUAAGUGGAAUAAGGGUUUCAUUUCUCAGGAAAGCACAUUAGCCAGUGAGGGUCUGUUGGCAUCUGACAUGUUGACAAGUUCUCUUGCAUAGAACUAAUAUUCUUUGGGAUCACAUAUGGAUUGCAGUGAGGAAAGGAUGAACCUGUACUCUUUCUGUACCUGAUGAUCAACUGAAAUCUCUCUCCCUUUGACUCUGCUUAGUUGCCCCAGUUGAAAGGUUUUGGGUCAGCACAGCUUAUCUCUAGAAUCACAGUGACUUCUGGGCCAGGACCACUUCAAGGAUUUAGGUAUGUUCUGGGCUAGGGCAGUAGAAUCUAUUUUGGGAUUUCCCAGAGCCAUUCAAAGCUUACCCCAGAAUGAAUUCAAACUCUGAGAGGACAUAUCCUCUCCCCGCCCCCGCACCCCCCCCCCUUUUUUUUUUUGAGGAAGAUUUUAAAAAGAG